rnacentral:rRNA from 1 species
GCAAGUCGAACGGUAACAUUUCUAGCUUGCUAGAAGAUGACGAGUGGCGGACGGGUGAGUAAUGCUUGGGAACUUGCCUUUGCGAGGGGGAUAACAGUUGGAAACGACUGCUAAUACCGCACAAUGUCUUCGGACCAAACGGGGCUUCGGCUCCGGCGCAAAGAGAGGCCCAAGUGAGAUUAGCUAGUUGGUAAGGUAACGGCUUACCAAGGCGACGAUCUCUAGCUGUUCUGAGAGGAAGAUCAGCCACACUGGGACUGAGACACGGCCCAGACUCCUACGGGAGGCAGCAGUGGGGAAUAUUGCACAAUGGGGGGAACCCUGAUGCAGCCAUGCCGCGUGUGUGAAGAAGGCCUUCGGGUUGUAAAGCACUUUCAGUUGUGAGGAAAAGUUAGUAGUUAAUACCUGCUAGCCGUGACGUUAACAACAGAAGAAGCACCGGCUAACUCUGUGCCAGCAGCCGCGGUAAUACGGAGGGUGCGAGCGUUAAUCGGAAUUACUGGGCGUAAAGCGCACGCAGGCGGUUUGUUAAGCUAGAUGUGAAAGCCCCGGGCUCAACCUGGGAUGGUCAUUUAGAACUGGCAGACUAAAGUCUUGGAGAGGGGAGUGGAAUUCCAGGUGUAGCGGUGAAAUGCGU